rnacentral:rRNA from 1 species
AACGAACGCUGGCGGCAGGCUUAACACAUGCAAGUCGAACGCAUCCUUCGGGAUGAGUGGCAGACGGGUGAGUAACACGUGGGAACCUACCCAAAGGUACGGAAUAACACAGGGAAACUUGUGCUAAUACCGUAUGUGCCCUUCGGGGGAAAGAUUUAUCGCCUUUGGAUGGGCCCGCGUCGGAUUAGCUAGUUGGUGGGGUAAUGGCCUACCAAGGCGACGAUCCGUAGCUGGUCUGAGAGGAUGAUCAGCCACACUGGGACUGAGACACGGCCCAGACUGUUACGGGAGGCAGCAGUGGGGAAUAUUGGACAAUGGGCGCAAGCCUGAUCCAGCCAUGCCGCGUGAGUGAUGAAGGCCUUAGGGUUGGAAAGCUCUUUCAGCUGGGAAGAUAAUGACGGUACCAGCAGAAGAAGCCCCGGCUAACUUCGUGCCAGCAGCCGCCGUAACAC